UUAGAUACUCUAGAAAGUCAUUAGCAUGGUAUUAGAACGAACUACAAGAAUAUUCCCUAAGUUAUUCUUAACUAUAUAGUCUAGCAUAUCAUAGUUAGUGCAAGCAUACUUAGCAAUCAUUGCGAGAUAAGACUACGCCCAUGCAUAGUGAUAUUAGCAAGGAAUAUGAGAAACAUAGCAAUCACUCCCCUGUAAUAAUGUUGCUCUGCCAGCCCA
rnacentral:lncRNA from 1 species